GCCCUCCCUGGGAUAACUCACUUGGUAGAACAUGAUAGAGCAUGAGACUCGUAAUCUCAGGGUUGUGGGUUCAAGGCCCACAUUGGGCA